UCCCUAGUGGCUCAGUUGGUAAAGAGUCUGCCUGCAAUGUGGGAGACCUGGGUUCGAUCCCUGGCUUGGGAA
rnacentral:tRNA from 1 species